rnacentral:rRNA from 1 species
UACGGGGGAGCAAGCGUUGUUCGGAUUUACUGGCGUAAAGGGCGCGUAGGCGGCACCGCAAGUCGACUGUGAAAUCUCCGGGCUUAACCCGGAAAGGUCAGCCGAUACUGCGGGCUAGAGUGCAGAAGGGCAACUGGAAUUCUCGGUGUAGCGGUGAAAUGCGUAGAUAUCGAGAGGAACACCUGCGGCGAAGCGGUUGCUGGCUGAGCACUGACGCUGAUGCGCGAAGCUAGGGAGCGAACGGAUAGAGUACCCGUC